UACGGAGGGUGCAAGCGUUAAUCGGAAUUACUGGGCGUAAAGGGUGCGCAGGUGGUUUGGUAAGUUAUGUGUGAAAUCCCCGGGCUUAACCUGGGAGGGUCAGAUAAUACUGCUGAACUGGAGUAUGAGAGAGGGCAGUGGAAUUUCCGGUGUAGCGGUGAAAUGCGUAGAGAUCGGAAGGAACACCAGUGGCGAAGGCGGCUGCCUGGCUCAAUACUGACACUGAGGCACGAAAGCGUGGGGAGCAAACAGG
rnacentral:misc_RNA from 1 species